rnacentral:tRNA from 1 species
CGCGGGGUAGAGCAGCCUGGUAGCUCAUCAGGCCCAUAACCUGGAGGUCGUUGGUUCAAAUCCUUCCCCCGCAACCA